GACGAACGCUGGCGGCGUGCUUAACACAUGCAAGUCGAACGAAGAGCGAUGGAAGCUUGCUUCUAUCAAUCUUAGUGGCGAACGGGUGAGUAACGCGUAAUCAACCUGCCCUUCAGAGGGGGACAACAGUUGGAAACGACUGCUAAUACCGCAUACGAUCUGACCUCGGCAUCGAGGAUAGAUGAAAGGUGGCCUCUACAUGUAAGCUAUCACUGAAGGAGGGGAUUGCGUCUGAUUAGCUAGUUGGAGGGGUAACGGCCCACCAAGGCGAUGAUCAGUAGCCGGUCUGGGAGGAUGAACGGCCACAUUGGGACUGAGACACGGCCCAGACUCCUACGGGAGGCAGCAGUGGGGAAUCUUCCGCAAUGGACGAAAGUCUGACGGAGCAACGCCGCGUGAGUGAUGACGGCCUUCGGGUUGUAAAGCUCUGUUAAUCGGGACGAAAGGCCUUUUUGCGAAUAGUGAGAAGGAUUGACGGUACCGGAAUAGAAAGCCACGGCUAACUACGUG
rnacentral:rRNA from 1 species